rnacentral:rRNA from 1 species
GACAGAGGGGGCAAGCGUUGCUCGGAAUUACUGGGCGUAAAGGGCGCGUAGGCGGGAUGGCAAGUCGGUCGCGAAAUCCCUCGGCUCAACCGAGGAACGUCGAUCGAUACUGCUGUUCUUGAGGAUUGCAGAGGAGACUGGAAUUCCCGGUGUAGCGGUGAAAUGUGUAGAGAUUAGGAAGAACACCAGUGGCGAAGGCGACUUACUGGACUGUAACUGACGCUGAGGCAUGAAAGCGUGGGGAGCAAACAGG